GCUUCUGCUUCUGCUUCAGCCCUUUCCCUUCCUACUGAUGAUACAACUCAUCCUGAUAUGCUGGAUGUGGCCCACAAAUCUCUCAUUUGUUCUUCUGAUGGAACAACUUGAGUUUUAGUGGAGCAGUGCAUGCUACUGUUUAAGUAAACAAUGAUUUUCCUGCUGUCAAACAUAAUUCUCGUGAUUUGGGCAGUGAUUCGGUAUGCUGUACUUUCGAGGCAGUGGUUGGUGAAUCUUUAAAAGCAGCUUCUGAGUCGAGUUUUGAGUUGCUGGUCAAGUCUCUUGGCUCUUCUUCUGAUAUGUCUCCUCUCUGAUUCUAGUGCGGUUUCUCACAACGCGAAUGAGGUGCUAAAAGAAUCUCUUGUGCUUUUCCCUGCUGAAUGUAACCCUCACAAGAGAGGAACUGUUCCAGAUAUGUAUGAGAUAGGUGUUGGGAGUAGAUGAGUUGAGCUGAAUGACCAUGCUUUUGGCAAGGUUUCUGUACACUGCUAUUGCUGAGAUUACUACUGAUCCCCUGGGGGCUCAGCAACAGAUUUCUGGUGGGAGUGGUAAUGUUCAUUGUAACUAUGAGUCACUGAAAUCCAGUGCAUGUGGCUUCAGUUGUUCAGCAUGGUUCACCUGUGACAAAUAAAUCUGCCGUGACUUCGAUUGAGUAGGAUCUUCUUCAUACUUCGAAUGAGGGUACACUUCAUAAAAUAAAAGGUGAAGUUGCUGCUGUUGAACUGGAUUUCUCUGCUUUUGCUGACAAUUCCUUAUGCCACAUAGCUGUGGUGAUCACUAAAUCUCCAGAUGUUGUGCCUUAGUGUCUAACUUGCAAGCUGCAGGUAUGGAUGCAGUUCAGUGUAAUUCUGAGUAUCUAUAGAACUUGCCAAGGUUUGUUUCUAGUGUGGAUUGUCUCAUCUGGAGGGGGCCAUGCAUGUGAUAUUUCUGAGAUGAUAACUAGAUCAGGACAGGCCAUGUGUUGUUCCCGUCCAUGCUUCUGCAGAGCAUAUUAUUUUUGAUAAUGACUUAGUUGCUCCACCAUUCAUGCCAUUGGAAAGGUCAGUGUAGCGUUACCAAUAGUCAGUUACUGCAAACACAUUCAUGCCGUUGGAAAGGUCAGUGUAGCGUUACCAAUAGUCAGUUGCUGCAAACACAUUCAUGCCAUUGGAAAGGUCAGUAUAGCAUUACCAAUAGUCAGCUACUGCAAACACAUUCAUGCCGUUGGAAAGGUCGGUGUAGCAUUACCAAUAGUCAGUUACUGCAAACACAUUUUCAGUUGAAAACUCAAUAUUGAAGACAUCGCUCCCAUAAUGGACUUCAUGGGCAUAUGCAAUUCUGUUAUUUCAAUCUGCUGAACAUCUGUUGCUUGAGCUUUUGCUUGUGGGUGAUGCAGUACAAUUACAGGAGGGAACCACCAGUGUGCCUAAUAUCCAUGUAACAAAAUUUAUCCUGCCUAGUGCAUCUUGGAUUGAUUGGCGAAAAGCAACAUACUGCAACAAGUGGGUUAUGCAUGUGUUUUGAGAAGAAGAUGAGGAUCUGGAGUUGGAAGCUUUGUCAUGCUUCUUACUCUGAUUUUGUGGAGUGCAUCUCUGUGCAGGCACAUGCACAAGUAGAAACCAGAAGGUCGAUGGCACCUCUCAGAGAAUCCAGGGUACAAAAGAACACGAUGCCUUUUGAAUCCAGUUUUCUUAAGCAUUACAGUGGCGAUGCUUGCGCACGUGUCAUUUCCUAUGAUCUAAGCGGCUUAGGUUGCUUAAUCUCCUCAUUAAUGUUGAAUAGGAAUAAUUAAUGGCGAAGGUGAAGAAGGGAAACAACAUUCCAAGGCAGGGAGAGGUUAUUGCUUGGAUUAGCUAUCAUGCAGUGUGGAAGUUAAUAAAGUUUCAUCAUUUACCAAAUCUUCUCCAACCAUACAGACUUAAGCAACUAACCAGGGAAGCUGGGAAUAGGCGUGUGCCUGAACUUCACAGGGAGGCUGGGAAUAGGCAUGUGCAUGAACUUGCUUCCUUCUUCUACAUGUGAUCUGUGAUUCUGAGUCAACUUACUAGCUAUGGCAGUGAAAUUUAACAUUAUUAGCCAGCCGGAUAACUGUUCUGUGGAAUUGGGUGUUCAUGGCCCUGAUCUACUAGUGAAACAUGUGCCAUUUGCUUAAAAAGUUGACUGCCUUGAAUGGUGCAAGGAGCUGGUUAUGUAGGAAGUGGAAUGGUGAAAAGAGUGCAUCUUGUAAAGGAUAAUGCCAACACACCUGGGUUGAAGCUUUGGAGAUUUAAAGAUGCUCAUGUUAAUAUCUCAGUGAUGCAGGUGCUCAAGUAAAUUCUUGGCAUGAGGCAAAUGAUUUGAGCAUUGAGCAUAUGGGUUAUCUUGAAACAGAUUGAUAAAAGAUUUUUUAUCAGUUAUGAAGAGGUUUACUAGCCUGACAAACAGUUUGCACAGUUAAGUCAUUUUCCUGUUCCAAAUCCAUCAAGUUGAAGGAAUUCGACAAAAUUUUUGGGCGUCUUGAAAUGGAGCCACAGCAUAGCAGCUGUUGGAUGUGUUUAAAAUGUGUGGGUUCCGUGAUGGUGAUGCUACCAUACCGAGGUACAUACAUUCCAUUGAAUCAUAAGAAAUGCAAAGUUACGUUACAUAGAAUCAUAAGCAAUACCAAGUGGGAUCUAUCUACUAGAUAUUUCAAGAUGAUGAUUGGACAUAUUUUGUUUCUCUGGACAAUCGUGACUGUUCAUUUUCAUCUCAGUAAUCGGAAGCUUAAGCUCACCUGAUUGGCA